CAACUCGACUGCAUGAAGCUGGAAUCGCUAGUAAUCGCAGAUCAGAAUGCUGCGGUGAAUACGUUCCCGGGUCUUGUACACACCGCCCGUCACACCAUGGGAGGUUGGGAAUGCCCGAAGCCGGUGACCUAACCGAAAGGAAGGAGGCCGUCGAAGGCGGGCUCGAUAACUGGGGUGAAGUCGUAACAAGGUAUC
rnacentral:rRNA from 1 species